UACACGACCGUACCGCAAACCGACACUGGUGCGCGAGAUGAGUAUUCUAAGGCGCUUGAGAGAACUCAGGAGAAGGAACUCGGCAAAUUGACACCGUAACUUCGGAAGAAGGUGUGCCUUUAGUAGGUGAACCAUUUACUUGGGGAGCCCAAUGAGGCUGCAAAAAAUCGGUGGCUGCAACUGUUUAUUAAAAACACAGCACUCUGCUAAGACGAAAGUCGACGUAUAGGGUGUGACGCCUGCCCGGUGCUGGAAGAUUAAAUGAUGGGGUGCAAGCUCUUGAUUGAAGUCCCAGUAAACGGCGGCCGUAACGAUAACGGUCCUAAGGUAGCGAAAUUCCUUGUCGGGUAAGUUCCGACCUGCACGAAUGGCGUAAUGAUGGCCACACUGUCUCCUCCUGAGACUCAGCGAAGUUGAAAUGUUUGUGAUGAUGCAAUCUCCCCGCGGAAAGACGGAAAGACCCCAUGAACCUUUACUGUAGCUUUGUAUUGGACUUUGAACAGAUCUGUGUAGGAUAGGUGGGAGGCUUUGAUGUGUGGUCGCUAGAUCGCAUGGAGCCAACGUUGAAAUACCACCCUGGUGUGUUUGAGGUUCUAACCUAGGUCCAUUAUCUGGAUCGGGGACAGUGCAUGGUAGGCAGUUUGACUGGGGCGGUCUCCUCCCAAAGUGUAACGGAGGAGUUCGAAGGUACGCUAGUUACGGUCGGACAUCGUGAUAAUAGUGCAAUGGCAUAAGCGUGCUUAACUGCGAGACUGACAAGUCGAGCAGAUGCGAAAGCAGGACAUAGUGAUCCGGUGGUUCUGUAUGGAAGGGCCAUCGCUCAACGGAUAAAAGGUACUCUGGGGAUAACAGGCUGAUACCGCCCAAGAGUUCAUAUCGACGGCGGUGUUUGGCACCUCGAUGUCGGCUCAUCUCAUCCUGGGGCUGUAGCCGGUCCCAAGGGUAUGCUGUUCGCCAUUUAAAGAGGUACGUGAGCUGGGUUUAAAACGUCGUGAGACAGUUUGGUCCCUAUCUUCCGUGGGCGCUGCAGAUUUGAGGAAGCCUGCUCCUAGUACGAGAGGACCGGAGUGGACGAACCUCUGGUGUACCGGUUGUCACGCCAGUGGCAUUGCCGAGUAGCUAAGUUCGGAAGAGAUAACCGCUGAAAGCAUCUAAGCGGGAAACUCGUUUCAAGAUUAGAUCUGCCGGGGCCUUGAGCCCCCUAAAGAGUCGUUCAAGACCAGGACGUUGAUAGGUCAGGUGUGGAAGC
rnacentral:rRNA from 1 species